rnacentral:rRNA from 1 species
AUUGAACGCUGGCGGCAUGCUUUACACAUGCAAGUCGAACGGUAACAGGCCGCAAGGUGCUGACGAGUGGCGAACGGGUGAGUAAUGCAUCGGAACGUGCCCAGUCGUGGGGGAUAACGCAGCGAAAGCUGCGCUAAUACCGCAUACGAUCUAUGGAUGAAAGCGGGGGACCGUAAGGCCUCGCGCGAUUGGAGCGGCCGAUGUCAGAUUAGGUAGUUGGUGGGGUAAAGGCACACCAAGCCAACGAUCUGUAGCUGGUCUGAGAGGACAACCAGCCACACUGGGACUGAGACACGGCCCAGACUCCUACGGGAGGCAGCAGUGGGGAAUUUUGGACAAUGGGCGCAAGCCUGAUCCAGCAAUGCCGCGUGCAGGAAGAAGGCCUUCGGGUUGUAAACUGCUUUUGUACGGAACGAAACGGUCCCGGUUAAUACCUGGGGCUAAUGACGGUACCGUAAGAAUAAGCACCGGCUAACUGCGUGCCAGCCGCCGCGGUAAAAC